UCAUUUAUGGUUGGUUAAUUGGCUGCAUAAGUGUAGCUGCUAAUUCAGUUUUUUUGCUUCCUAUUCAACAUCUCUUCCUGCGUAUAAUGCCUAAAUGCACUUCUCUAACUACUCAACAUCUCUUUCAUGUGCGCAUUGCUUCACGUGGUACCAUGAUUAAGGCAUGAUGUUGUUUAACUAGUUAAUCUGCUCAUUUGAGAUGAAUUUUUAUUGCUGUUUUUAGUAAUUCAAUGUUUAUAUCGCUGCUCAGGUGUGCUAUGAGGGAUGAGGCAGUACUACCAGGGUUUGCUAUCCGAAUAACAACCAGCAGCCUGGUGCUGUGACACCUUGCCAGAGACCACACUAUCGCUUUCUUUCCCUUCAAGCUGAGCCUACGCAACGUCCUGGUGCUAGCUACGCUCACCAUCGAAAGCCAGCUACAAUCUUCAUGCUCAGUAGGUACACUGGGGCAACCGGCAAUUGGGGGUAGCGUUGGGCGGUAUGCGCGUGCCGCAGUGGUCAUCGGUACCACAUCCGCGACUUCCUCCGCAAGCAGCAGUCGAUAGCAUAUGGAGGUCCUGGAGGAGUGGAGGAGGAAUGUGAGAGGAAUGUAUUAGCAAGGUUGUAUGAAGGGGGUACUAGGGUGUACUAGGUAGCAAGGUUGUAUGAAGG